rnacentral:rRNA from 1 species
CGGGACGGGUGAGUAACGCGUGGGUAACCUGCCUUGUACAGGGGGAUAACAGUUGGAAACGGCUGCUAAUACCGCAUAAGCGCACGGCAUCGCAUGAUGCAGUGUGAAAAACUCCGGUGGUAUAAGAUGGACCCGCGUUGGAUUAGCUAGUUGGUGAGGUAACGGCCCACCAAGGCAACGAUCGGUAGCCGGACUGAGAGGUUGAACGGCCACAUUGGGACUGAGACACGGCCCAG